ACCGAGCCUGGUUCCAGGAAUCUGAAUAUUGUGGGGGAGGAAGGAAAGCGCCGAAAAACAGAGGAGCUGGGGAAGAGCUGGCCCUGGACACUGUGCUCCAGUUCCAUCGGAUGGCAUUCCUGUUGGCCCUACAGAAACCACCAUGAACACAUGUGAGAAUUGUGUGAGGGGGAUAUGAGUGGCGCAUGGCAGGGUCUGCUACACAGACAAGCAAUUUUGUUCCCAUACAUUUCAUAAAUGUGAGCUGUCUUGCAGAUAUGAAGCAACCAGCAGAAGGUAAAAUCUGAGAGAAUUCUAGAGACACCAGUACUGACAUUAUGUCAGUGGCUGCUGCUGCUACUGCUGCUAAGUCGCUUUAGUCAUGUCCGACUCUGUGCGACCCCACAGACGGCAGCCCA
ensembl:lncRNA